ACCUGGGAUAGCUCAGUUGGUUGAGCACAAGACUCUUAAUCUCAGGGUUGUGGGUUCAAACCCCACAUUGGGCA
rnacentral:tRNA from 1 species